rnacentral:rRNA from 1 species
UACGUAGGUGACUAGCGUUGUCCGGAUUUACUGGGCGUAAAGAGCGCGCAGGCGGUCGUUCAAGUCGAGUGUGAAAGCCCCCGGCUCAACUGGGGAGGGUCACUUGAUACUGAUCGACUCGAAGGCAGGAGAGGGAAGCGGAAUUCCCGGUGUAGUGGUGAAAUGCGUAGAUAUCGGGAGGAACACCAGUGGCGAAGGCGGCUUCCUGGCCUGUUCUUGACGCUGAGGCGCGAAAGCUAGGGGAGCAAACGGG